rnacentral:tRNA from 1 species
GCCGCUGUAGCUCAGCCUGGUUAGAGCGCUACGCUCAUAACGUAGAGGUCGUGGAUUCAAGUUCCGCCAGCGGCA